ACAAUCAUCUGUAAUAGGAUCUGAUGCACUUUUCUAGUAUGUGUCUGAAGACAGCUGCAGUGUACUCAUAUAAAUAAUAAAUAAACCUUUUUAAAAAAGCAGAUGUGGAAAGAUUUUAAGUAGCUGGAGUUCCUAGGGAAAAUUUGACAGAAAGCCCAAUGCUGUGCUUGUGGGUUUCUGGAAGAUUUUAAAGUUUUCCACUUUGCUGCUGAGGAAAAAGAUCUGCUAGUGUCCCACCCACUCCCCCAGUGGGGUGGCCAAGGUUUCUGUACUGUUCAGUCAGGGGUGUUAUUUGUCCCCUUGGUUUCACAUGGCCCCUGGAGCAUUAUGUGUACUAGUAGAUGGAUAUGGAGCAAGAGCAGUAUGCAUGUGAAAAUGUUUGUAUCUCCUAAGGAUAGGUGGAGUGGAUAAGUGUGUUGUGUACAUUCCUGCCUUCACUAAGAGUGGAAAUUGUUCCUCCAGAUCAGCAGCUGUGUGUCAGUCAUCAUGGAGAGGCGUUGGGGUGUUGGAUAGUAUGCUAGGGAACUGGCUCUAGAGGCAGGUACAACAGAAAAAAAGCAAAUUCAGCUAUUAUUUGAGUUGAAAACGGUCGUAAAGCAGCAGAGACAACUGGCAACAUCAGCAACUCGUCUGACCCAGGAACGCUAAGGAAAGCACAGUGUGGUGCUGGGUGAAGAUGUUUCAUAGAGGAGAGGAGUCCCUGAAGAUGAAGAGCACCGGGCCAGCAUCAGAAGCUGACAGUGACCAACUGAGAGCAGCCAACAGAGCCAGUCCUUGUACAGCUGCAGAAGUGGUCAGAGAGCUCACAGUGCACCAGUCAACGGCCAUUUGGCAUUUGAAGAAAAUUGGGAAAGUGUAAAAGCUUAAUAAAUAGUUGCCUCUUGAGUGAAAAUCAAAACCACUGUCAUGCCAUUCUUACACUAUACAUACAGCAGUGGACCUGGUGUCUUGGACUGUGAUGUGUGCCAAAAAAUGGUUUACAUGCAAACACCAGUGUAGUGUCGACUCGCUCAGUGGCUGGACUGAGAAGAAAUUGCAAAGAGUAUUCGAAAGUCAAAUUCACACCAAAAAGGGGUUUGGUGGUCUGUCUGCUGCUGAUCUGACCCAGAUUUCUGAAUUCCAGCAUUAUCAGUACAUCUGACAAGUGUGCUUAGCAGAUCAUCGAGAUGCACUGAAAAUGACAG